rnacentral:rRNA from 1 species
UACGUAGGGGGCAAGCGUUGUCCGGAUUUAUUGGGCGUAAAGAGCGUGUAGGCGGCCAUACAGGUCAGCUGUGAAAACUCGAGGCUCAACCUCGAGACGUCGGUUGAAACCGUAUGGCUAGAGUCCGGAAGAGGAGAGUGGAAUUCCCGGUGUAGCGGUGAAAUGCGCAGAUAUCGGGAAGAACACCCGUGGCGAAGGCGGCUCUCUGGGACGGUACUGACACUGAGAGACGAAAGCUAGGGGAGCGAAUGGG